rnacentral:rRNA from 1 species
UACAGAGGUCCCAAGCGUUGUUCGGAUUCACUGGGCGUAAAGGGUGCGUAGGUGGCCAGGUAAGUUUGAUGUGAAAUCUCCGAGCUUAACUCGGAAACUGCAUUGAAUACUAUCUUGCUAGAGGGUUGGAGGGGGGACUGGAAUUCUCGGUGUAGCAGUGAAAUGCGUAGAUAUCGAGAGGAACACCGGUGGCGAAGGCGAGUCCCUGGACAACUCCUGACACUGAGGCACGAAAGCUAGGGGAGCAAACAGG